rnacentral:rRNA from 1 species
GCAGAGACGAUAGCGCACAGUAGAGUGAUCGAAGAUGAAAGCACUUGGAAAGAGAGUAAAAGUACGUGAAAUGUGAAAGGGAAGGGCUUGCAACCAGACUGUCCGCAGUUGCUCAACUGGUCUCUGACCGGUGUACUCUCUGCGGCCAGGCCAGCAUCAGUUCAGGCGGUCGGAUAAAGACUUGGGAAUGUAGCUCCUCUCGGGGAGUGUUAUAGCCCAGGGUGGAAUGCGGCCAGCUUGGACUGAGGAUCUCGCUUCGGCAAGGAUGCUGGCGUAAUGGUUGUAAGCCGCCCGUCUUGAAACACGGACCAAGGAGUCUAACAUCUAUGCGAGUGUUUGGGUGUCAAACCCAUACGCGUAAUGAAAGUGAACGGAGGUGGGAACCCGCAAGGGUGCACCAUCGGCCGAUCCUGAUGUCUUCGGAUGGAUUUGAGCAAGAGCAUAGCUGUUGGGACCCGAAAGAUGGUGAACUAUGCCUGAAUAGGGUGAAGCCAGAGGAAACUCUGGUGGAGGCUCGCAGCGGUUCUGACGUGCAAAUCGAUCGUCAAAUUUGGGUAUAGGGGCGAAAGACUAAUCGAACCAUUAACACUGUAGUUGUUACGGACUACUAGGUGGUUAAGAGGCGGCUAAAAGUGCCCGCCUAGUCCCUCCAUCGGGGCAACACUGUCAAAUUGUUCGGGGACGUCCUUAGAGCUUAGACUACCGCGGCCGGGCCGAAAGGUUCGGUGCAGCACCAGGGUAACGACCUCGGGUAUGGUAACAACGUCUAAGAUUGGGCUAUCCGCAGCCAAGCUCCUAAACCUCUCGCGAGGCACGGAGAAGGUUCACAGACUAGAUGGCAGUGGGUUCGGCCUCGCGGCUGGGCCUAAGAUAUAGUCGGUCCCCCGCGGAAACGCGGGCGGCAGGUCGAAGCUCGCAGGCAAGAUGGGCGCGUCAAGCGCUGGCCUGGGAGCCCGAAGCCUGCCGGGGAGCGCCUUGCGCUCUCGGACUA